CUUAACUCUGGGAUAAGCCUGGGAAAUCGGGUCUAAUACCGGAUAUGACUCCUCAUCGCAUGGUGGGGGGUGGAAAGCUUUAUUGUGGUUUUGGAUGGACUCGCGGCCUAUCAGCUUGUUGGUGAGGUAAUGGCUCACCAAGGCGACGACGGGUAGCCGGCCUGAGAGGGUGACCGGCCACACUGGGACUGAGACACGGCCCAGACUCCUACGGGAGGCAGCAGUGGGGAAUAUUGCACAAUGGGCGAAAGCCUGAUGCAGCGACGCCGCGUGAGGGAUGACGGCCUUCGGGUUGUAAACCUCUUUCAGUAGGGAAGAAGCGAAAGUGACGGUACCUGCAGAAGAAGCGCCGGCUAACUACGUGCCAGCAGCCGCGGUAAUACGUAGGGCGCAAGCGUUAUCCGGAAUUAUUGGGCGUAAAGAGCUCGUAGGCGGUUUGUCGCGUCUGCCGUGAAAGUCCGGGGCUCAACUCCGGAUCUGCGGUGGGUACGGGCAGACUAGAGUGAUGUAGGGGAGACUGGAAUUCCUGGUGUAGCGGUGAAAUGCGCAGAUAUCAGGAGGAACACCGAUGGCGAAGGCAGGUCUCUGGGCAUUAACUGACGCUGAGGAGCGAAAGCAUGGGGAGCGAACAGGAUUAGAUACCCUGGUAGUCCAUGCCGUAAACGUUGGGCA
rnacentral:rRNA from 1 species